CACAGCUUCGACAACACACACAGCCACAGAUAGAUGAUGAAGCGUUGCAGCCGCAUCUUUUCGCCGCUCGCGGCUCUUGCCCUGCUCCUACUCCUCGUCUGCUUCUUCCACUGCGCGGCCGCGGCUCGGCUCCUCCCUGCUGUUCCUCCUCUUGAUAACCAAGGUACGUGUGCUCCACUCUUGUCAUGUACAGUAUGUCUUGGUUGCUGAAGCUCUAUGCUGGUCGAUCGAUCCUACCAGCUUUGGUCUUCCCUGAUGUUUCUGAAGAACCCUUUGCAGAGAAUAAUGGUGUCAAGGCUGGUGCUGCAGAUGGCCUAGUGCUUCAUGAAGGUACCGCGGUCCAUGGCAACGAGCUUUCAGUCUCGGAGGUGAGAACAGAAGACGCUGAAUGUCUUUGAAUCCAGUGAUUUCCAAUUUGAGUAGUAAACUUGACCAUUCGUGUACUGGUUCUUGAUCAGAUGAUGGGAGUAGAGGAGGAGGAGCCGGCGUGUGACGAGGGGAACGACGAGUGCAUGCAGAGGCGGCUGCUCCGGGACGCGCACCUCGACUACAUCUACACCCAGCACAAGGGCAAGCCGUAAGGAGAGGACUGAGGACCUGCAUAUCUUCAUCCCAGAUCUACCUGCCGGCUGCCCGCUAGCUUGAUUCUGUCACUAAUUAACAUUAGUGACCCAACUACGAGUACAUGCAUGUGUGUCAUCUGUCUGUACAUCUCCAAGUCUUGUAAUACAUGGUAAUUUGUCUAGUUGCCUACCUGUGAAGCUGCGGCCCCUGUCUGAACUCUGAAAGUAAUACUAUGUUUGUACGUCCAUGCAAGCCCAUUAUCUACAAAGUUUUCAACUUUCAUGUGUGCUCGAUUGCUUUGCAUUCAUAAUAUUUUGAAGACUGAGGGCUUGUUUCUACGCAUAUUGGAAAACUAGUGGCCUUUGUCUGUAUGCAAAAACUUAAAGAGGACAAAACCCUAAACCCUGAUACUCCUAUUGUCGUUAUGGACUUAUGGUAUGAAUCAUACACGUUUAAGCCACCGGCGUGGAGUAAUACCUGCAUCCUGUUGGGAGAUUGUAUCUAUAUGCAUGCGUCUAGUGCAAUUUAGAUACGGUUCUACUUUAAGCUAUUUUCAUAAAGACAAAUAUGGUACACUUUUAGAAAAUAUAAUAGAUUCAAUGGCUAUUAUUAUCAAUGAUCUGAUCAUGAGAGUCUACAAAACUUUUGGUCAAGUGCUUCUAAUUUUGUGAGAAUUCUAUUAUUUGUAUUUUUUUUCUAGCGUGUUAUCAGGAACAGAGGGUUCUUGUUGAGGCUUUAUAAUAAUGAGUAUUCAAUUAGUAAUGUUAUGUGGAAAGAGAUCGGCCAAGCCCAUUCGUUCUAAUCAGUUUUGUAUACACUUGAGCAUAGCAAUCCAAACCAAUUAGUCUACCUAUAAAAGAAACAAGUAGUUUAUGUUUACAACGAUAUAAGCAUGUGGUUAGCUGCUACCAUGCAACCUAUAGCUUGGGGCCUUCUAGUUGAAGAAAGAAUCUAGACGUAGGCUGCAACUUGACAAGUUCCUAAUUGGCCUGGAUCACCAACCCUGCGUCCAGUGUGUAUGGCUUGGAUAGGUAUGCCUUCUUCUCUCUUUGGUUGAACCGGAUACAGUGAUGCGCAUUUAGAAGUGAUGCGGUUGGAUCUUUUGCAACCGGAUACAGUGACACACACGCAGUUUGGCUGCCUAGCCGACAUGCAGGCCGGCAUGCGUGCUUCCAGCUGGCUUAGCCUUAUGAUAUGAUGCGAGAGGAAUGAUAUCGCACGCGCUGGAUGAAAACGACAUGGCAAUAAGUUGAGCACGUUUAAGUUCAGGCGACGAGCCGAUCGAUCGAUCGCCGCCUCAGUUAUUCCUGCAUCGGAUCCCCACUCUACCAGCGGCGAUCAUCAGGUAGUCACUAUCACACCUAAUUUUAAAACAAAAUCAAGUGCAACCUGUACGUAUACGUAGGAUCAAGUUCAUACAUACAGUGACAUCAUCAGUGAAUAAUAAUAACAAUAUCACGUAAAGAAAUAUAAAUAAUGACUUAGAAGUCUAUUAUUAGAGAUAUACAGUUUAAUCUUGGAAACAAAGACUCUAAACUUCACAGGCAAUCGACUGGGGGCUGCGUACACGUAGAGCUCAACAUCAUCUUCACAAAAUUUCACACACCUUCUUCUGAGUAGCAGUAAGCAAGCGUGAGUACACUUAUGGUUGGUACUUAACGAGGCCACAAGAAAUAUGAAAUAACCAGAAUAAUAAUUUAAGUCCAUUUUCAAAUUUAUUAAUCAUGUGAGGGUUCGGGCCUCUCUUAACCGUGAGUGCGGUUGAUGUAUCAGUUUUACACUCUGCAGAGGUCGUAUACUUUCACCACAAGUUUCGUAAAAGUUUAGAAGAACUUUGAACCCAACCAUGCCGUGCAAAAGUAGGCGCUUAUCACACUACCGAGGUGUGACUGCAUAGGGAUGCUACGAGGCUUUUUACAAAGAUUCCCUAGUAAGGAUAACUCGCUAAGGUUUCAUGAUCAGGCAAUACAUAAACCUUUCUCAAACUGCGAAGUUACCAUAGAGCAGAUUUUGAGGACCGGACUAUACACCAACUACUGUCUGUCUCCCCCUCUUGCCCCUUUUAGGUAAAGCUACUACAAACUAGAGUUUCUAAUUAAUUAGCCAAGACCAGAGCCAUGUAGUUCUUGUGUUGCACUGUUUUCCUAGGUGGUUCUCCAUGUUCCAAUUAAUACUUGGUAUUCUUGUAAAUACGUAUAAAUAGAAGGAUGGUUAGGUCACUUGCCUUUUUCCAAACAUACAGCUGCUCAGAUUAUCUUCCGCUCUUGUUCUUCAAAGCUCUCGAAUGACGUUCCUUCUACUCGCAACAAUCAUCGGACACAAGCAUAGAAAGCAAACAAACAAUCACAACUAAGAACAAUACAUCAAUCAAAGAAAAGCUUUAAAAGAGUAUACUAAAGGAUAAGGCUCGAUUCUAGAAUCAUGAAAACUACGAAAGAAACGCUAAAAAUGAAACUAAGAUUGAAAAGACAGAGCUAUCGAGGGAUUAUUAUCAAACAACAAAGACUAUGUGCUAGAUAUAUAUUAACUCAAUAAAACCAUAUGUAAAGGCGUGGAGGAUAGGCGAAGGAGAUGCGUGACGGCCUAGGGAACUCCUCGUGGUGGCCUCUUGCUCCAGGAACGUCGGGUGUGGCGAAUCGGAGUGGCGGAGGCGGCAAUGGCGCUCGGCUCCGGCGAUCGACUGCGUGCAGCGCUGCGUGAGCAGGUGAGGCGAGGAGAGGCGCAGGGCGAGCAGCAGGGGCGCGGGGUCAGGUGCUCGGGCGGCGGCUUUAUAGGGCGCGGGACGGCCAUGGCUUGGCAUGCACGCCAAGGCCGGUGGCGCUGCCGUGCGGCUCGGGAAGAGCUGCCGAGCAGCUGGGUUGGACUGGGCCCGGGUCGAGCCUCGCGGGCUCGGCUCGAAAGGACUGUGGGGACCACCUGCAGGGUAGGGUUAGAGUCUAGAGGGUUGGAUCAGGCUUGGUUGGAUCCAACCCGAUAAGGAUUUAGGGUUUUGUUAUUUUCCAAAAUAUAUUUUCCAGUGCGAAAACAAAUCUAGAAUAUACUAGAUAAUAUUUUGAAAGCACGAAAAAUAUCCAGAAAAUCCUAAAAAUUCUAGGAAAAUUUCUAGAGAUAGAUUGGGACACGAGGAUUCCAAAUAAAAUACUUGGAACUCGUGAAAAUAAUUUAGAGCCUUCUAAAAAUAGAUUAAGUUCUAGAAAAAUGAGAAUGAAUCCCAGAAAAAGCUGGAAAAUUCUUAAAGGAAACUAGUCGUUGUCUAAACGCAUUUAAAAACAUUUGCACUCAUAAAACACUACAUUGGCAUGAAUGCAACACACAAAGAACAACUUUAUUUAAUUCAGAAAAAAACCAAUUGUUUUUCCUAGACUAAAUUUCCUGUCAAGAAAAUAAAAGUUGAAUUUUUUUUAAAAUUAUGAGAAAUUCAUUGUUUAAUUGUUCUUCUAAUCACAUCCUGAAAUUUAAAAAUUUCAAGGUGUGACAGUCACUAGCCGUACAAUAUACAUGCUCCUUUUUGUUAUGGUACAUAUGCCACUAUUCUCUGAUUUACUAGUAGUUUACCUUGGAGCUAGUGACAUCGCACGAUCGAUGGAGAUUGUAAUCUGCUUCCACGUAGCCGCUUUUGUGUGUUUUGGUGCAUGCAUGGGAGCCUCACUGACUUGGGCACACCCACGAUCUUCAUUCGAUUAUUGGCUAGCUUUAUUCAUUGUUUGUGCGCACAGCAUUAGUUUCCCGUUUGGAUUUUGGCCACGCGUCGGCAUGUCCAUGCGCAUCGUAUCUCUUUCAGCUUAGCAAUGAGAAGAGUUGCAACUGAUUUCAUUUUCUUUUUCCCAUGGUCGGAUAUCGUCGGAUGCACGCGCAUGCGCCCACCGUACCUCCUCCAUAUGCUGCAGCCGCACGCCAUUGUAGACUAAGACUAGUAGCAUGCAGCACGCUAGAGGUAGACUGCUAGACGGUGUGUAACAGUGACAUACACGCGGCGCAGCCAAGGCCAACGUCAUGCAUCAGCCGCACCCAAGUUGGCAAGCAAAGCAUUACUCCCCGUUCCCGCCGACUCCCGUCCACUAGCAAAUCGCUUGUGCUGCCAUCCUGCACAGCAUCAAGCUUUGCAUUAUAUAUACUCCGUAGGAAGAAAAAAAGAAACACUCAGCUGAUACUGUUUGUAGAAUCUCAUCUCCUCGCGCCCACAGAUCGAUGAUCGAUCGGUAGCCGCCUAGCUGGGAUACAUAUGAUGAUUUGGAAUUGCCCACUACUGUGCGUUCUACCGUGUUUCCACCGAAACGUACUGAAACUAUAGAGGCCAGGGACGAGCCAGCCAGCGCCUGUCGUCCGAGCUGACCCCGAAAGCUACAGAGGCCGCCGGCCGGAUCAAAUCAUCGAAUCCAGCCGUUGACUCGUACGAGCAUGCAGCGGGCCGAAAAGACGAGACGACAGUGAGCGAAAAGACCGGGCAAGCAGCGAGCGCACUGUCCGUCGUCGAUCACGCGCCGCGCGCCAGCACAGUAACACCAGCAGGCGACCGCACUGGCUGGGAGACGACGACAAGGACGAGCACGACGCCUGCGAAUGCUGAUGCGGUGAUGCACGCAACUUCCCCUAGCUCUCGUCUCUCGACAGCCGCCCCAGCGUGGGUGGGCACCGCCGAUCGCCCAACAUUGAGCACGCACGAGAUCGAGGAGACUGCUGGAGCGAGAAAGUGGCGCCGAUCCAGGAAAUGAUCGAUGCUGCAGGAAAAUGGUGGCCGAGCCCGAGUGGGUGGGGGAAGGCAGACCGCAGAUGCAGCAGGACACAGCAUGGCUGCCCCAGUACUCUAGUGCCCAGCUGAGUGGACGGACAGUGCCAAAAAAGACUUGCUAUACGUGGCCUGGGGGUGCUGUCCGCUGUGCGUGUGAGAGUGGGACCCUCUGGGCCCAUCAGGACAUACAUGAUAGUCAAUGGUGCGGGGAGCCCAUGCAGCAUGCAUGCACUGGAAUAGUAUACGAUGUCAUUGUCAACAUAUUAGACAGAUUCAGCUCAGCAUCAGCAGCUACCGUUACGCGUGCAGUUCCUGAAUCUGCUCAUCGGCUGGCUGGCUCCUCCCUUGCAAAUGAACAGAGGCCAAACUGCGGCAGAGUAAUUCGGACAACGGGACAAGAGGUGUACCAGCAAAUUAAAACAGAAACGCUUUCCUAAUUUCUGCUCUUUUGCAACACUACGGAUUGCCACUACUGGAAAGCACCUUCGGUAGCGGGUCCUAACCCCUUAAGUACCGAUUGUGCAAUCGGCAGGUCCUAACCCCUUUAGUACCGAUUGUGCAAUCGGUAAGUUGGUACUAAAGGAGGUCCUUCACUACCGGUUCAAAUAACCGGUAGUAAAUUCUUUUUUUUUCUGUUUCUUUUCUCAUUUUCUUUUCUAUUUCUUUAUUCUAUAUUAGUAUUUCGUAUUUGUUUCCUUUACGUAUACUAGUUCUAAUACACAAUAUAUAUAUAUAUAUAAAGUUAUAUUUGAUCUAUAAUAUUACAUUUGAGUUAAUAUUAUACAUAGACAUAUUGUGCAUACAUAUAUAUAUAUGAAUAAUAUUACAUUGCAUCAACUCUCCAAGUUCAAUAUUUUGGAUCAACUAUUCUGAACCCGAGUCCUGACGGUGAUAUAGAUUUGAUCCAUCAUUAUGCAACUCUCCCGCUGGAUUUACUACCUCGUCCAGAAGAAAUCCACUGAGUUGUUCUUGAAUUACCCUGAUUUUUUCCAUCUCGAGGAGUUCUUCCUUCAUGUGCAUAAUCUAUGUCAUUAGCAAAGGUUAUUAUAUUAGAUCAAUGGAUCUGCACAAUUGGAACUAAUUUAUUGUUAAGAAAUUUGUAUACGUGCUCUGAAUUCGUGGUCGGUUAUACACUUAGGACCUACAAAGCCAUGGACGGACUCACAUACGUAGUAUCCGCAUAAAUUAUUCCUCGGAAUCUGUCUCAAACACUAUAUAUAUGGUAAAAAAAGUUAUGAAAUAUUUGUUGUGUUCAAGGAAGUGACACGAAAUGUGCAAAUUCAAUGCAUACCAGGAAUUUAGAGUGGAUAUGAAGUUGCUCCUUGAAUUCACCUGAGUGAUGUUGACAAAAGCGAGCCCAUGCUCUGUUAAGUAUGUCUAUGAGGUCAGUGUAUUGAUUUCUCGGUCUCCUCAGAGAGUUGAGGAUAUAGACCAUGCUUCGAUCAACCACGAUAACAAGUAGUAUCUAGUUGAACCUGUACAUAUAUGCAUAGUGAAAAAGUAUUUAGUCUUAUUUUUAACUGCUAGUUCGAAAAAUAAAAGAGAUGGGAAACACGCUCACUUGAAGUUGUACGUCAGAAGUAUGUACUUCUUGCAAUGUUGCUUGUCCAAGAAAUUAUAUAUAUUCUUCAAGGCUCGAUUUGGUUUAUCUCUUACAGUUACCUCGUUUAUAACAUCUGGGUCUAUGAAGCUGACAUCAUAGAAUCCUUUCCUCCGGCAAGCUUGAAUCUCCAUCUUGCAUGAUACAAAAUAGAAUAGGAGAUAAGACAUCGCACAAUGACUAGAGCGGGGAUUUUGAAGUUAGAGCAAAUUAAAUACUUACAGAACCCAGAAACUAUUGAGUUGUCAAGUGCGUCUUGGGAUGUGAUUUGUCAAGCUCUUUCCCUAACUCAAUUUUUCAUUAUCAGUCUCAGCGUGCUUUGAGAUGUGAUCCUCCCCUCGUAGUUGAGCUGCGGUGAGAUUUGUAUCUUUGACGAAUAGAGGUAGGUUCUUAUCAAACUCCGAAAGUACUUAGAGCGAGGCAAGAUUGGUUGGAUUGGGUUUCGAGCUGUUUAAUACUUGACCCACUUUUCUUUUUCUUCUAAAAAGCCUUUGUUAGUGUGCGAUCGUAGUCAGAUAGUGGUGGUUUCUCUGACUUUUUCUUUUUCUCCAACUCCAUGCCUCUAAUAAAAGCUUAAAAUUUAACCUUAUCAAGUGGUGGAUCUUUUUUCACGGGAGGCUUUGGUGCAAAGUGAGCUUUAACCUCAGCAUCCACAGUUGCGCGGAGCUCCUCAUCAGUCUUCUCGUAAGAUUUCUUAGGCUCUAGUUGCUUCUCCUUCAAUUUCUUCUGCUUCUUCUUUGUAGGCGAAACUGAGGGCGUCUUUCGCCGUGUAGCCUUGCUCAUAACAGGGGGAGGUGGACUCAUGCUAGGAUCCCUGUCAGCUGGUGGAGAGCGUGGACUCAUGCUAGGAUCCCUGUCAGCUAGUGGACUCAUGCUAGGAUCCCUAUCAGCUAGCGAAGAGGGUGCCCUGGCAGAUGACGUAGUUGAUCUUGCUUUUGAGCCUUGAGGAGAUGAUCCCAAGGUCGGGGGAUUCGGUUGCGAAAUCCUUAUAUAGUGCUUGGACCAUAGAAUCCAACCAUGAAUAGCUUCUCCUAGAUUCUUUUCCCCGUCACCUCCAUGUACCUCCAGUUCGAGGUCAUCCCAACCGUUGACCACUCGGUCCACCCUAACUUUGACGUACCUGUGAGCUGAAAUCUCCACAUUAUGAAUUGUUUGGCCUUGUGUCAGUUGUUCAGCCACACUAUAAGCCACCACGAUGAGCUUGUUUUUCACAGGAGUAAUAAGCUCACAUGGAGUCCUCCCAGUGAUGUCAUCCACGGGGUGGCGUUGGUUGUCCUCAACCAUGUCAGAAGAUCCUCCAGCUAGGGCUUCCAUGGAAGUGAUGCUGCACUGAGAGGGGUUUACAUCGAUAUUAGCCCCUAAUUAUGCAGUUGCUUGUUCACUGGUUUGUUUGCUAAGAGCUAGAACCUUAUGCCGAUCGAUUGCUUCCUCCAUUCUUGCCUCUGUCAAAGCUACGUGUUCUGGCAACUCUCGCAGCUGUCGUGCAUGUUCGGCCUUACUUCCUUGGUGACUUCUAUAUGAAUCAAUGUGCUCACGAAAGGCGAACUUCCAUAGAAUUGCUCCUUUGCCUCGGCAACAUAAAGGGUGUUUUGGAUUACCUAGUGCCAUAGUCAGCUCGUCCUUCUCUUGAUCGGGCACGAAGAUCCUUCGGCUGUAGCCUUUAUUAACUCAACAAGCCUCGUAGCCGCUUCUCUUAAUUCUUGACUGAACAAGAAUGAUCCAUCUUCAGGAUUGAGUGUGGCGCCACGAGCAUAAUACCAAUACUUUGCUCACUCCGGCCAUUCGAGAGUCGCCAGUAAUAUUCCCUUAGCAAUUAUGUCAUCUUCCAUCCUAUGCUAUUUGAUGAUCCUCUUCUUGUAACCUCCUGGCCCAAGAUGAUGAAAGUAUUUGUUCUGAUGAGCAUUGUCGAUGUUGAUUUUAGUUGCCUUAGUGCUCUUUUGUGACUGCUUAAACUGCACAAAUGAAUCCUAGCGAUCUCUUAACGUCGGGUGCUUCGUGAAAUCUAGUGUAAGACCCUUCUUUAUGUAAUCUUUGUUCAGGUUUUUCUUGUAUGUCUGAAAGGCAAUUGCACCCUUCCGAAACCUCCAAUCUUUCACUUUUUCUUCAUCUACACCUUUGAACACAAAGUUUUCUUUUAUCUGCUCCCAUAUCAUUUCCUUCUCUCACUAGGGGACCACGCUUACGGGGACUGUGUUUGUGGGGAUCACGCUCUCAUCAAUUUCAGGGCUUUUCCAAUUCUGAAUGCUUAUUGGGAUGUUAUCCCUAACAAGAAACCCAAUUUGAUUCACCAAUUUGGUCUUAGCAUUGUCUGGAGCAGUUGUUUCACCCUCUUCAUUAAGAGCGUUUGUCCGCAUUGUACAUUCAUUAUUAAUCCAUCUACAAAGUAUUACCGAACCAAAGAUAUUCUGAUCAUCCAUAGAAUUAUACAUGAAACAUGACAAAUAUGAUACAAAUUUCACUAAACUCAAAUGUUGCUGAAAAUUUAGAUAGAAAUACACAAAUUUAAAUUUCAGACCCAAAUAACAUGAUACACUAUGAAAAACUCAAAUGUUGCUGAAUGUUUAGAUAGAAACACACAAAUUUAAAGUUCAGACCCAAACAACAUGAUACACCACGACAAACUCAAAUAUUGUUGAAAGUUUAGAUAGAAAUACACAAAUUUAAAUUUUAGACCCAAACAUUAUGAUACACUACGACAAACCAUCCACUGAGUACUAUCUAGGAGGACUUUAAGCAUCCUUGGGUGGCGAAGAUGAAGGUUUCGCUAACCCAGCCUCAUCCUGCGGUUUAUUAGUGCCUCCUGCGACGAUAAUACUCAGUGGACCUGAAACUCCCGGGACUGGCGGUGGAGCAUAACGACCACCAAAAGGAGGUUCCUGAACCACUGCAACAGCAUCUUCAUGAUAUCUUUCCAAAUAACGAAGCAUUGCUAUCUCCCACAUGCUCAUUUUCUUUGGCUUAUCAUGAGGGUCAACUAUGGUUUUCCCCUUGCUGCAAGAGGAACGACGAUUUCCCCCACCAUCACCACUACCUCCAGUAGCGGUAGCCAUCUUUAUGUACCACAAUUUAUUUAGCUCAUAUUUGCAAAUAACUCUCAAGCUGAUUCUGCACCUUCUUCUCCUCGAAAGCUACAACUAGAAAAUAUAUUCACUAAACUAUGAACAAAUUAUAUUUUCUCCACAAUUUAUUUACUCAAACAUAACAUAUAAAGGAAAAAUUUCUCCAUUGUACCUUAUUCUAAAAAUGACUAAUUACAUACCUCUAUUUCAUCUUAUUAUCUCUAUGUACCACAAUUUAUCUUGCUCAUAUUUGCAAAUGAUGAAACUAUGAAUAAAUUAUAUUUUUCCCUAUAAUUUAUUUAACUCAUAUUUAUAAAGGACUAAAUUAUAAAAUUAUUCAUCUAACCUCAUAUCAAUUUCUUUGACUAAUACGAAACAUAGCAUCCCAAAAAUUGUAGCUUAUUCUAAAAAUCAUAAAUAUGAGUUCUAAAUACCACAUGCGUAUAAAUGAAAUUUUUCUCCAUUGUACCUUAUUCUAAAAAUCACAAAUGACUCUAGCUCUAAAGCAUAAAACUUAGUAUACUAACCAUGUAUCAAGGGAAGAUGAAGUUUCUAACCUUUAGAACAUUUGAAUGAGUGAAAUCCCUACAAAAUGGUCAAAAAUCCGGUAGCACCUCCCCUAUUUUGCCAUGAAUGGAUGAAGUCCGAGCUAGAGGAAAUGGCUCGAGCAAGAGGAAGAAGACACUUGAUUUAUAGAAGGGAAGUUAGUACUGGUUGGGAGCUCCAACCGGUACUAUAAGGUCACCCAUUAGUACGGGUGGAGCCUACACCUGGUACUGGUACCUGUUGGAGCCCCCAACCGGUACUAAAGGGGUCACGGGGCUCCUAAGAAAGUAGCCGUUAGACCCGAUAGUAAUGCUCACAUUAAUACUGGAUGAAAAAUCAACUGGUACUAAAUCUCGGGAUAAAUGCCAAGUUUCCCAGUAGCACGCACGUCUCUUGCACACAUCCGGGUUUCCCGAUGGAAAAGAAGCAAAGGAAAAGAGAUCGAGCCUUACGCGACUUGAGUGGCUCAAAGUUUGGAAAAGGUCCCAAAAAUCCUGCCUUUUUAAGCUCCUCCUCCUUACCUCACCUUCUCCACGCUGUGAUGUGCUGCCGGUCCAUCUAUGAGACGACACCUGUGCCGAUAUGUAAGCGUUUUUGGAAUCUCUAGUGGAUGAAUCAGAUGUAUUUCGCCAAUUUUUUGCUGACUGUCCUAUCCUCCUUUUUCUGAGUUGCUACAAAAGCUAAAGCAAGGAUAUUCUUUGGGUUUGAAGGUGUACAGCAGCACUCACCAGUUCCAUUUUCAGAUUAGCUCAUUAGCACCACAUGACCACAAUCUCUACUCGUCUCACAAAAAAAUGUAAAAGGUGACACGAAUAUUGUUUGAUGCAAAAAAAAAAAACGAGCAAAGGGAUGAUGCGGCUUUUCCUGCAUUCAUGCAGUGAUGCAGGGAGAGAGGAAAAGUUGGAAAAAGGUCCAAAACUCUUGCCUUUUCGAGCCCAUCUUCUCCGCUUCAAAUGCCGAAAUCUAUCGAUAAGACGGCAGCUGUUCGUAAGAGUUUUUGUUCUGGAAUUUCUAGAACCAGACUAACACACCAUGUGCAAGCAUUUGACUGCUAGGUCUUUCACCAUUUUCGCCUCCUGUUUCGUCCUCCUUUUUCUCUGAGUUGCUACAAAAGUUAGAGCAAAGGAUAUAUACUUUGCGUUUGAAGGUGUACAACUGUACUCCGCAGACCGCAGUCCCAUAUUCAGAUCACCCGCAACCCCAACCAUAUUCACACAUCACACUCUGGUAAAUUUUCCUACCCCAUUUCAUUUGUUCUUUUUGGCGUGACAAUUUUAGUUUUAUGCAUUGAGAAAUGACAAGUGUAGCAUACGUACUAUCCUUAUUAUUCUGAACUGAACUGUAAGGAAAGAAAGUUAUGUAGUCUCUUGCAAAUUCUUGUAAAACUAGCAAAGUGGCCCGCGCAAAUAGCGCGGGAAGCUAGUUGUUUUUAUGCCAAUAUUAUAGUGUUAUAUUUUAAAAUAAAUGGAUACAAAUACUUGUGUUCAGUCAUGUUAUCGUAACAAAUCGAGAUAUCAUAAUUUUUUUUCUUGUCAUAUUUUGUGGAACAUGAAUUUAUGAAAAAAGGUAAUAUCUUAUGUAGAAACAUAUUUUUUUAUUUACUGAAUCUAUAUAAAGAUUUAUAUAGUUUUAACAGGAAUAUACUUUUUUAGAUUUUUUUAUUGGUGAUGUACAUUUUUGUUUGUGAGUUUUGCUAUGAUGGUAAAUUGUCCUUAUAUUUUUAGUAGAAUAUUUAGGUGAGCGGUUCAAUAUAUACUCUGAAAUAACGUACUAAAAAAUGAAUAUUAUUAAAUACCAGAAGUAAUAAUUAAAAUUUAAUUUUGAGUUUGGAUCGAAACACAUCUUUAGUUGUUAUCAAAUCCAAAUAUCCUUUCCCUCUUUGUUCCCAAUCACCAGUUGCUACAGCCCAGUACAUGCAUGAUUUCAUUUUGUCUUAUGGGUGUUGCACCUUUUUCCCAGCACAAACCCUAGCUACGUUUGGGUCAAUAUAUUCAUUAGCUAGCAAGGUAUAUAUAUCCUUAGCAUUUGUGCUCAUCCAUUCUCUCUCCUACUGCUCCAAAGGAGCGUUGCCCCGCUACGCUGCGGUCAUUAAAGAUGCAUCCAUGAUUGUGCUUUGUCAUUACCUCUCGUUGAAUACUGUAUGCAGCAUGCUAUGGUGUCCAUGCCAAUUACUCUGCGUUAGUUUAUUCUAGAUCACAUCAUCAUUAUGCCAUUACUCUGCGUUCGUUCUUCUUCUAAAAUUUUCAACUCUUAACCAUCUAUUAAACUUAAUGCUACAUAUAGCAAGACAUCACUUUCUUAUUGUUUCUCGUCACCGCUGGUGGUGAUCGCCAUGCCUCGUUGUAGGCUAUGUAGAGUUAUACUCAACCUAGUGACUGGGUUGGGAUCAUGUCAUGGCUAUGCCAUAGCAGCACCGUCAAGCUAUCAUUGUCAUGCCCCUCAUACGCUGGUGAUUGUUUCCCUUUCUAAGUGGAGCGAUUGUUUGAAAUCGCUCCUUAGGCACCAUUUGAGAGAGCUCCAACUCCUCCAUUUUAGAAAACAAAAACUCCUGGGAGCCCAUUUUACUAUAGUACACAGAGAAGUUAGAGCUAGAGCUGGGAAAAAAAAACUCCCAAAGGGGCUCAUAGCUCUGCCUCUUUUCUAUUCUAUCUUUUGCUUGUGCACCUCUCUUUUAAUGCUGCUAUUUGGCCACUCCAGUUCUUCAUAGUCAACCCACUGUUUUUCUCCAUGGUCGUCAUCAUGGUCACCCUCUUGGAAUCUGACCCAUGCUGACCUUUUCUUCUCUUUCAUUUUGAUCGUAGUUGUUCCUAUAUGUGUGAAACUAUGCUUAUCCAUGGUUACCUAACAUUUUUCUUCGUAGUCGUCGUCAUGCAAUCUAAACUGUGCAAUUUUAUUUCAUCGUCUUUUAGUUAGUUCGGAAUAUCUCUAGAUGCCAUCACCGUUGGUACCUCAAAUCACAACAACUUAGAUGGCCACUAUACACUCAUCGCUCUACAUCUGCCACAUUUGACAAUUCAUGCACAGACGUUCCACUUUCUGUCGUGGCCGGUGAUCGCACAAUCUUCGUAAUGUCUUGCAAAUGAAGGUCAAGCGCUACUUCAGCCGCCGGUUGCUUGAUAAUGUGUUGCUUAGCUCUAAUAUCAAAAAAUACCCUAAAAUUUGCACAACUCCGUGGUCAUGAUUAUCCCUUGGCUUUCACGACUUUUACUUAGCUUGUUUCUCCUUGUACAUAUUGGGGCUCUAUAGAAUUUCCUACGCUUUUGGAGGAGGGAGGGGGACAACUCAAGAAAUUCCAACUCCAACGAUUUUUCUUAUUGUGUGCAUGUAGGAUGAGGGUGUCUAAAUUUAUUUCUUUGGUCUAUCCUUUGAUUUAAGGGAUGAUCUCGAUACUAAAUAAGAGAGUGGAAUAUACGGAACUCCAAGAGUUUCCAAAAAAAUUAUUUCCCAAAACUAUCUAUUAGGGGCUCUACUAAAAAUGUAUUUUCCCAAAAUAAUGUCAUCCCACAGCAAAUCCCCAAUAAUAAACUCCCCAAAACUUCAAAACAGGCCACAUUAGCAUGUGCGGGCCCUCUGUUAGGCUGCCAUCAACUCCCCCCUCCUCACGAUCUAUUCUGAUCGAAGUCCUAGUGCCGCCGCCACUUCGCCCCUCCCGGCGCCUCUUCUUUUGCCACCAUUCCUGCCUGGUAAAUCUGCCGCUGCGUUGUACAAUUACAAUUGGAGAUAGAUAAAAUGGAAUCGUCAUAAGCUGACGAAGCCAUUCCAUGCAACCGGUGCUAGAUUCGAUUAGGCACGCGAGAAAGGAAGCACGGGAGCAAUUGGGGGAGGAGAGAGCUCGUGCAAAUAUGCGGGACGCUGGGGUCGCGAUUCACGUCGGCGAAAAUGUGCGGCAAUUUUUGGGGGGCUGUUGGAGAGGCCUUUUAUUUUCUUUUUCUCCCUAAUUAGACUAUUAUUAGGGGUGAUUUAAGAACCUUUUGGAGGUGCUCUAACUGGUAGUUGUAUUAGAAUAGGUGGGGCCUUUUUUUAUUUAUUUCUAUUGGUGGGAAUCGACGAUGAAUAAUUACUUUUAACUAUUAUUGGUACAGAAAGAGACUGCGGCCCUUGUCCAUAUCUAUCCUAAUCUAAUAUGAAUAAUAUACUCGAUUGAUCCAAACUGUUAUAUAUUUAUUAGUUAUAUACGAUGCGAACUCUUUAGGUUAGUCCGUCAGGUCAUCAUAAGAUGUAAUCGUGUAUAUUCUUUUCUUUUUCCUUUAAUGUGGCUUAUUCUAGGUUGGCCCCAGCAACAUUGCUACUUAGAUUUAUUGAGUAUCAAUACUUAUCCAUUGGUAUUCACCAUGGCGGUGCACACAAAUAAGAGAUUAUGGCACGCCAGCUGAGCUAUGAUCAGCUGGUAAUACUUCUUGUGUUGGGACCUACCCAUACGUGUCCGAGUUCUCGACUCGGCAUGUGUGCUCACGUUUUUCUAGAUUUAUUCUAGGAUUUAACCGGUAUUUAUUCUUUCUAAGUGACAUGCUGAUCUACCGACUUAGUCUCUCGGAGGUGUUCGUAGGGGUAAGGUUGCGUACGUGUAUUUAAAGAUGUGAGUGUCUACGUCUAUACUGUGUUUUGCAAUAGAAAAAGUAAGAGAAGGCACGAAAUGGAACAUAUAAGAUGCAUAUGUAUUGUGUUUUGCAAAAUAAAAAGUAAGAGAAGGCACAAAAUGGAACAUAUAAGGCGAGAGAAUGAAUGGCAACAAAAGGAUAUGUCACACUCAUUUUGUUUUUUGAUGGUGCACUUAUUUUUCUUUUCUCCGAUCAUAAUUCCAAAGGAUAAAGAAUAUCGUAUUUUUAUUUAGUCAAAUUCAAGUUUAUACAGAAGUGUAUUAGCAUCGAUCUAACACAUCAUAUAAGUAAAUUAUCAAAUAUAUUUCACAAUGGAUCGAAUUUUGUUCAUUUGAUAUCGAAAAUGUUAUUGCUCAUUUUUUAAAUUUGGACCAGACAUAGAAUAGUUUGAUUUACGACAUAUCAAAAGAAUAUUGUAUUUUUAUUUAGUUAAAUUCAAGUUUAUAGAGAAGUGAAUUAAUACCUAAUACAUCAUAUAAGUAAAUUAUAAAAAUAUAUUUGACAACGGAUCAAAUUAUGUUCAUUUUAUAUCGUAAAUUUUACUGCUCUCUUUUGAAACUUGGAUCAAACAUAAAAUAGUUUUACUUACAACAAACUAAAAUGACUUAUAAUAUCUUAUAGAAGAGGGAGUAAAUUAAGAUAGAAGAGGGAUAAAUUUUAGAGUCCAUGUAUUUCUUUCUUGCGCACAUGACUUCAUUGAAUUAGACUCCAUCAUGACGCUUGAUAGAUUCAUCCACAUGAUUAAAAAAUGCUAUUAUAGAUGGAAGGCCAUGUAUUUUCUGUUAACGUGGGAACAUGGAAAUCCAUGUCAAGCAAGACACGUUAGAUCUUUAUGGAAAUCCAUAUAUAGUAAGGAAAGGAAAUCAGCUUGUUUUGACUUGGACUUUUUUUAUUUGUCUAGACCAUUAGAUCUUCAUAAAAUCCAACGGUCCAUAUUCUUCUCUUUUUUCGAUUAACAAUGUAAUUUCUAAACCCUCUCGACGAACAUGGUAGCUUCUUUUAACACUAUUGUAUUUAGAUAAUAGAUUCUUAGCUCUGCUCGAAGUGGGUAGGGAAGCUAUUUCUUAGGCACCAGUUUGUUUGGCACACUGUGGUAGUGGAAGGCUGGAACCACACAUCCCGCCAAAUCUCUACAUCUACUACGUGUUACGGACAAACGUGUUGCCGACUCGAGUGCGCGUGCGACUUGAACCUCUCUGCCCCUGUGCCGGCGUUGCGACUUGCAACUUGCCUGCCCUCUCCUCGGCUCCUCGCUCGCCGCUUCCGCAUUAUAAAUAGAGCUGCCAGCCUCGGCGCCACCAUCACCAGCCAUCCUCUCCCAGAGGCCAAACCCACCAGCAGCCAACCAGCACUCACUCACUCUAUUCGAGCAGGCAGUACAGGCAGCUUCUCCGAUCCUCUCGCCCUUGGACAACGCAGCCUAGUUUCAACUGUUGAAGCCACGGCAGAGAUGAGGCGUUGCAGCCGUAUCUCUUCGCCGCUCGCGGCUCUUGCCCUGCUCCUCCUCAUCUGCCUCUUCCACUGCGCCGCAGCGGCUCGCCCCCUGCCUGUUUCUGUUGCUCCUCUGGUUAUCCAAGGUACGGUUCGUGCUUCAAUCGUAGCUUGUGCAUGUGUAUACGCUUUGCUCAUCGAUCCUAUUACCAGCUCAGCGUUGUUCUAAGUUUCUGAGCCUCUUGCAGAGAAUGGAGCCAAGGUGGCUGCAGAUGAUGAACCGGUGAUUCAGAAAGACGCCGCGGCUAGUGGCGAUGAGCUCCCAUCAGUCGCUGAGACUGAGGUGAUGGGAGCAGAGGAGGAGGCGGAGGAGCCGGCGUGCGAGGAGGGCAACGACGAGUGCCUGCAGAGGCGGCUGCUCCGGGACGCGCACCUUGACUACAUCUACACCCAGCACAAGGGCAAGCCAUGAGCCCGUGUGAGGGGGAGGACAGGCAGCUGCAGAUCCUCAUCUCGGUUGGUUGUUCUUGG
rnacentral:lncRNA from 1 species